rnacentral:lncRNA from 1 species
GAUCUGGUUCUGGGCAUUGUCGAUCCGACCCCCCAAGUUGGAAUUGACGGAAUUGAUCCGAGAGGUUAGGUCGUUGUUUACGGAAUUGAUCCGAGAGAUUAGGUCGUUGUUUACGGAAGUAAUCCGUGAGCCCAGCUCGUUGUUUACGGAAUUGAUCCGAGAGGUUAGGUCGUUGUUUACGGAAUUGAUCCGUGAGUCCACCUUGGAAAUGUUGGCAUCACGUGCUGCCAGCUCAUUCGCUAG